rnacentral:rRNA from 1 species
GAACUCACUGCCCGACCCUGUUAAACGAAUAUGUGAGAGGAUGGUACAUCUCAGUGAUUAUUACUAUAUUUUGUUGAAUAUAAUCAAAUGUCUUCCUCAUCAUAUAUUCUAUAGAAGGUGAACCCGGGAACGUUUUCUGGCGAUGGUUUAAGAGAUCCUUGCCUCCCCAGCUCGCCUUUCUUCGCGUCCCCGUCUUUUCCUUAGAACUCCUCCGCUUUCUUUACCCCUAUUCAAAGUUCCAGUUCGAUAUGUUGUGCCUGUCCCGCCCUUCGUCGCCUCUGCCGCCGCGGCCUGGGUGUGGCGGCGGACGCGGUCCCGAGGGCGGCGGCGGGAGGGAGCUGGGACGCGGUCAAAGGCGGAGCGGCAGGGGCGAAGUCGGCCGUGCAGUCGGCGGCGACUGGGGGUAGCAGUUCAUGUGCCCGUAAAGAACGCCGGACAAGCACCGACCCACGAAAGAACCGAGCCGACGGCGUCCUAGCCCACUGCGGUGUCAAAUUAGUGGUAAAAGAACCGAUGCAAGAAGCUUAACCACAUGGACAACGGAACAACCCUUCUACCUAACGCACGUUCGAACGCUCGGGAGGUUAAUUCAAGUACGUACUAUUCAUAAAGGAACCCCCUAUAUAUCAUGAUGUGAGUUCGAUUUUAAAGAUAUAUAAUACGUGUUAUUGAUUAUAAACGCAGAAGAAGGAGAUCUCACGACGACUUACCUAGUGUUCCAAGAGGUAAACACGUAUCUGCUCCCGACGCCGUCCCUCUGAGGUACAACGGAGACGAAAAAUAAGAACGGUACCUCGGGGACGUUGCCUACGAAAGCUACCGGUGUCUCUCCCGCCACGAAUGUGGAAACUCUUAGUCCCGACGAGCAAACGCUAGGUCAAAGAUGCGGCUACUACGUCGAAACAAGUAGUUGGGCCAACGGGUUCUAAAACGACGACAAGUACGGUAGGAUUUUCAGAAACCCCUGCGAAGACCCGACGCCCGGUUGUAGCCGUUCUGGCACCGUAUAGGAUAGAGGACGCGACUUUAAUUACAACUCUUAUAUAACGUACUAAAACCACCCUAUGACCCGAGAGAGGGUACAGUUAUAAACCCUAAUGGUGAACCCAAAGCAUUUGGCGCCUCCCGUCUCGAAGUUGGCCAGGAGCUGUUUCAACGCCCCUUCGAACGAGGAUCCUUCCCUUCCAAUAAUUUGUCCUACCCUUCCGACCACAUGUAGUUAAGACACCAAUGCCGUUGGCGGUGAAAGAAGAACUGCCAGAAGGGCGGACUGUUCACCGAGUGGUUUUUCCACCUGUUCGACUCCUCUUUAAAGGAUACCACACGCCUCCUACUUAGUCAUCCCUCCUUUUCGGAACAUUUAAUCUUUGCUCACACACGGGGGUUCGCAAAACCACCGGAUCCUCACUUCCUAUAUCUAACAAAGUCAUCCCGGAACGCGUAAGCUACCCUUACCAAGUCCACCCGACUUCUCCUAUCCGGUACCUUCCCAUGUCGCUGAGGUACACUACUGUGACUAGCCGUUGAGAAGAGGUCGACGUGAACGUAGCUCAACCCUCUACCAUCACAACGUUGGAAGACCUUUCUAGCCACCGAGUUACCGCUCCGGGGUGUCGUGGAUCGUGGCCUAUAGAAGUUCGACCGAUCCACAUUUGCCGAGUGCCAGUUUCUCCGAUAUUCGUGACCCGCUACCUACGUUCCAUAUGUCGCUUACCUGUCGGUGCUCGUCGAUACAGUUAAACAACCGGACACCCUUUUUAACGUCGGCCACUUGAACAGUUGAGUUUCCCUGUUUUAGUUGAUCUUAUAGAGACGGUUACCUUAUAUGAGCCGCUCAAGACGAAUACCCCAGGUUAAGAGACGGUCCUAACUCGUUGGACUCUAACGGGCCCACACCUCUUCGUUCGAUCUUCCCUUCCACUUUAAGAUGUACACCGAAGACGACGUCUUGUCUUUGACCUGACGGCUGGCCGAUGUCCGCUCUCCUACCGGUGUAUUGCGGAGAACGUUUAAAACACUGGUCCUCGUCCUCUGGCGCUACGUAGAGUGCGAAGUUACGACAAUACGUUCUCUCCAGACCGUAGAGAGGGAACCACGGUUGUCGUCCUACAUGUUACCACACAGAAGCCGUUCAAGUCAAAGUCUAACCACCUUCUACGAAACAUGCGUUUCUCCUCGUGGUCGUUCCUGCCUCCUUCUCUAUUGAGACAGCCGCAUGUAGCGGACCGUAGAUACCUUCCUCUCUUUGGCAGCUCAAAAACUCCUAUUCCUGGACUGUGGCUCCCGCAACCAUUUGUACUAAGCACUACUGCAAUGUAACGAGUCACUCCGAAACUCUGGAUGGGUAUGCCGUCUCCCCAUCACGUACAAGAAGUCCUCACGAAAGGCUAUCCGUUGACAUAUACAAACACAAGCAAAAUACGAGCCCCACGAAUUGUGGGGAGGGGAUAUGAAACAUGAAAAAGGGAAGUGAUAUUACGUUUUCGUCUCGAGGACGAUAAGGGCAGUUUUUUUUUCUUUAAGUAAGUGGAACUUUGAGAUGAAGAAGGUCCCUUUCUUUAAUGUUUUUAUCAGUACUAUCUUGAUUACCAUGUUCCAAUUACCUACGUUUUCUGUGUCCAAUGACUUUUCAACCCGAUCUCAUAUACAUACCUUUCUAGUCUAUGUUUGUUAAUCCGAUCCAUCAUCAUUGUUUAAUAUACGAGUUUAACCUCUGGACGAGACAUGGGGUCUAGUCAAACAUACAUUCGAACCAUCUAAAACAGAAACCUGAGAUAGUAUCUGCUUAGUGUCGAUACUCACAAGAAAACUACCUACUAUAACACGAAACUAUAUAAACUAUAUAAACUAUAACACUAAAACAAGAUUAUCAUAGUAUCUGCUUAGUAUCGAUUCGUCCCUCUACAGUGUGAAACUAUAUAAACUAACUAUAACACGAUCGUGAACCUCCGUUACUUUCUUCGUUCUGUAAUUGAGCACCCUUACCAAGGUAAUCCACCGAGAAUGUACGUUUCAGUAACAAACUUCGAAAAACUGAGUUCUUCAU